CAUAGGGCUCGUAGCAUCGAGUCCUGCAGGACGUGUGGGGGACGACUGGAAGAGGAAGAUGGGAUAACACCUUUGUUAAUGUUUUGUCUGGUUAUUUUGGCAGCUCUCCUACAGAUCAUCCACGUGUGAAUGGCAGCCGUGGAUACAAACUCUACGCUGACCAACAAUGAUGACCUGUGACAUGUGACACAACCCUGUUUCUAUUAGCUCCUGGAGCCCCACAACACGCCUUUAGCUACAAAUUGGCCGGUCGUUGUCCACCAUUCCCUCGGUGAACAGUGCAAGGUGCACCUGGACUGCAUGUUGUGCACUGCACCUUGAUUCAUGACACAGUGUAAUCAUGUUUGGCUGCGUAACCUCUAGGCUUUUCCUACACUCAUAAAAAUGGCCAAACCCAAAUGAAAACGGUCCUACAGGUGAACUUCCACAGUGGAAUGCCUCAAUCAACUUUGACUCAGCUCACUGGUACGAUUAUUGUAAGCAGGAAAGACAGCGCUCUUGAUGAUAACAAUAACAAAGUGUGAAAUCAACAA